rnacentral:rRNA from 1 species
GUGCCAGCAGCCGCGGUAAUACGUAGGGUCCAAGCGUUAAUCGGAAUUACUGGGCGUAAAGCGUGCGUAGGCGGUUUCGCAAGUCCGAUGUGAAAUCCCCGGGCUUAACCUGGGAACUGCGUUGGAAACUACGAGGCUCGAGUGCGGCAGAGGGGGGUGGAAUUCCAGGUGUAGCAGUGAAAUGCGUAGAGAUCUGGAGGAACACCGAUGGCGAAGGCAGCCCCCUGGGCCAGCACUGACGCUGAUACACGAAAGCGUGGGGAGCAAACAGGAUUAGAUACCCCUGUAGUCC